UACGAAGGGAGCUAGCGUUGUUCGGAAUCACUGGGCGUAAAGCGCACGUAGGCGGGUCUUUAAGUCAGGGGUGAAAUCCUGGAGCUCAACUCCAGAACUGCCUUUGAUACUGAGGAUCUUGAGUUCGGGAGAGGUGAGUGGAACUGCGAGUGUAGAGGUGAAAUUCGUAGAUAUUCGCAAGAACACCAGUGGCGAAGGCGGCUCACUGGCCCGAUACUGACGCUGAGGCACGAAAGCGUGGGGAGCAAACAGG
rnacentral:rRNA from 1 species